GAUUUGAUCAUAUUUUUUCAGAAACCAAAGUACUGAAUAAAAAGAAAAAAUAGAGUUUUAACAAAGAUUUUUCUUAAAUGUCCCCAGAAGUACCCCUGGUCUCUGAAUGCACAAUAAAGUCAUGUCUGGCUGUCAAUUCAGAUUACACUGUGACUGCAGCAGCAGUGACAUCAGCCCCGGAGGCUCCAGUCUUAAUCAUGCAGAAACAAAAAGCUACACUUGGGGCUUUGCUCUCCCCACUGGACCAAAUGACCCAGAUGUUGGCACAGUGUCCAAUCAGUUUAAAGGAAAAUGUAUCCACAAGAACAUGAGUAAUGCUUGUGAUAUCAUUUUUAUACGAUUAUUAUGUCUGUUGCAAACUUUCUAUUAUCAGCUAGGUUCUAUCAAAAAUCAGUUACUAUUGUGUGAGAAAAAACAAUCCAUCCUUGUCUGAUUCAGGGACCAGGGGUUUUCUUAGAGCGAGAAACAGAGCACAGUGCAGACAGGAUGCCAGUCCGUCUCUGCACUAACACUUACACCGAUUAGGAGUAAUGCUCUGACUGCUGACAGGUGAACUGAAUGACACUGAUUAUCUCCUCAUCAUGGCACCUGUUAGUGGGUGGACCUUAUCAAGAAGCAGGUGAACAUUUUGUCCUCAAAGUCGAUGUUAGAAGCAGGAAAAACGGUGAGUUUUGAGUCUGACAAAAGGCCAAACUGUGAUGUUAGAUGACUGCGUCACGACCACAGCUCUUGCGGGGUGCUCCUGGUUUAUAGGGAUCGAUCAAAAGUGGUCCACGGUAGGAACAGUGGUAAUCCAGUGAUGGGUCAUGGACGACCAAGGUUCAUGGAUGCACAUGAGGAGUGAAGGCUCGUCUAGUGGUGGUGUUUCCUCGGAGUAUGUCCUACUCAUCUCAUCCUCUUCUUCCGCAGAUGGUCUUCAAAUUAUUUCCAGCUUUCAUGUUAUUUUUGGUAAUUUCCCAUUAAAAUCAGAAACUGUUACAUAGACACAGACUGUGUCCAAAGAUGAAGAGUCUGCAGAGACGCAUGCACAGAGUUGUGCAAAGACGCAAUUCAAAAGCAGAUCAAUAAAAAUAAAUUACUUCAAGCCGACUUUCUGCUAAGCUUUGUCAGCAGCCUGAGUGAACAGAUGUGAUUUCAAAGGACAGACAGCUAUUGAAUUCAUCCCAUAUUCUUUAGAUAAUAGCACAGUGCUUAUAAUGAGAUCUGAAUGGAGCCCAUGCACUUGAAACAGACAGAAAGGAGGACUCAGAUGUGCCACAGUAAACUGUUGUAUUUAAUACAUGAAAGUAAUAUUAUUUACAACUAUUAUUCUAUCAUUGUUUAAAUCAGCUAUAGCCUUCACUACAUUAAUUAUAUUAAGCAGUAAAAAAUGCCAAUAAUGCUCAAAGGAAACGAAAAGGUUAAAGGUAAAAAAAAAAAGAAAAAGAAAAUCAUUAAAAAAUCCAGAAAUUGGAAGAAGAAAAUCAAAAAGCACCGGCAGGUGAGAAUGUCAUGUUUUUUACUGUUUAACAGAUGCUGUUAGAUACUUCUGCCUCGUCAGAGGAGGAAGACAUGAAGAUACUGUAAAAAUAAAAUGAUAAAGAGUGAAACAAAAUAGAGGUAACUACAUAUUUUGAGGAUGUCCUGUCAGGUUAAAGAAAAAGCAGACCUACUUCAGAUUAGGCAAACAUGCCUACUUGGCUCUCCUGAGUCAAACCAUGAUCUCAAGUCAUGCCAGCAGCAACAAGUGGCACUCUAACACUGACUGUUUAACACUCCUGCACUGCCAGUACUAUAAUGUGUUUAUAAUAAAGGUCCUCCGUUACAAAGUCAGGGUUUAUAAGAACGUAAUAAAGGCUGUUUAACCAUAACAAAUAUGACAAAGUUACUCUUAGCUCAGUAAAGACAAGAAUACAAAA